AUUGAACGCUGGCGGCAGGCCUAACACAUGCAAGUCGAACGAGUGGCGGACGGGUGAGUAAUGUCUGGCAUUCUGCCCGAUGGAUGGGGAUAACUACUGGAAACCGUAGCUAAUACCGCAUACCAUCGGAUCUGCCCAGAUGGGAUUAGCUAGUGGGUGGGGUAAAGGCUCACCUAGGCGACGAUCCCUAGCUGGUCUGAGAGGAUGACCAGCCACACUGGAACUGAGACACGGUCCAGACUCCUACGGGAGGCAGCAGUGGGGAAUAUUGCACAAUGGGCGCAAGCCUGGUACAGCCAUGCCGCGUGUAUGAAGAAGGCCUUCGGGUUGUAAAGUACUUUCAGCGGGGAGGCGUUACCCGCAGAGUAGGCACCGGCUAACUCCGUGCCAGCAGCCGCGGUAAUAC
rnacentral:rRNA from 1 species